UUAGAUACCCUAUUAUACUAGUGAAAUCCUUAAUUAUUAAUAGAUAUAUUCUUUAAAUUUGAAGAAUUUGGCGGUGAUUUAGUCUUGUUAGAGGAACCUGUUUUUGAAUCGAUACACCACGUUAAAUUUUACUUAUCUUAUUAGUUUAUAUACCGUCAUUGUCAGAAAAUCUUAAAAGAGUUAAUUUUUUAAAAUUAAAAAAGAUAUAGUUAAGCUAAAUUAGAUCAAGGUGUAGCUUAUAGGUAAGUUAAAAUGGGUUACAAUAAAAUUUAUAUUACUACGGAGUAAUAGAUGAAAAUUGAUUUAUGAAGGAGGAUUUAAUUGUAAUGUAAAUUUAAUAAGUUUACAAGAUAUAAGCUCUAGAUUAUGUACAUAUCGCC
rnacentral:rRNA from 1 species